AGGAUGCCCAGUUAGAUUCGAAUUUCAGAUUAAAAACAGACAGUAUUUUGGUAUAAGUAUAUCCCAUGCAAGAUUUGGGAUAUACUUAUGCUAAAAACUAUUCAUUGUUCAUCAAAAUUCAACCUCACCUUGGA
rnacentral:miRNA from 1 species